rnacentral:rRNA from 1 species
UACGGGGGGGGCAAGCGUUGUUCGGAAUUACUGGGCGUAAAGGGCUCGUAGGCGGCCAACUAAGUCAGACGUGAAAUCCCCAGGCUUAACCUGGGAACUGCGUCUGAUACUGGAUGGCUUGAAUUCGGGAGAGGGAUGCAGAAUUCCAGGUGUAGCGGUGAAAUGCGUAGAUAUUAGGAGGAACACCAAUGGCGAAGGCAGCUCGCUGGAACGGUACUGACGCUGAGGCGCGAAAGCGUGGGGAGCAAACAGG